rnacentral:rRNA from 1 species
ACCAUGGUGGUAACGGGUAACGGGGUGUUAGGGCACGACACCGGAGAGGGAGCCUGAGAAACGGCUACCACAUCCAAGGAAGGCAGCAGGCGCGCAAAUUACCCAAUCCCGACACGGGGAGGUAGUGACAAUAAAUAACAAUACAGGGUUCUUUUGGAUCUUGUAAUUGGAAUGAGUACAAUUUAAAUCUCUUAACGAGGAACAAUUGGAGGGCAAGUCUGGUGCCAGCAGCCGCGGUAAUUCCAGCUCCAAUAGCGUAUAUUAAAGUUGUUGCAGUUAAAAAGCUCGUAGUUGAAUUUCGGGAUCAAUAUUACGGUCAUGCCGUUGGUAUGCACUGUUAUAAUUGGUUUCUCACCUUCUAAAGAACCGUAAUGCCAUUAAUUUGGUGUCACGGGGAAUUAGGACUGUUACCUUGAAAAAAUUAGAGUGUUUAAAGCAGGCUCACGCUUGAAUACAUUAGCAUGGAAUAAUGAAAUAGGACAUCCGAUUCUAUUUUGUUGGUUUCUAGGAUCGAUGUAAUGAUUAAUAGGGAUAGUUGGGGGCAUUAGUAUUCAAUUGUCAGAGGUGAAAUUCUUGGAUUUAUUGAAGACUAACUACUGCGAAAGCAUUUGCCAAGGAUGUUUUCAUUAAUCAAGAACGAAAGUUAGGGGAUCGAAGACGAUCAGAUACCGUCGUAGUCUUAACCAUAAACUAUGCCUGACUAGGGAUCGGA